ACUGCUCAGUAACACGUGGACAACCUGCCCUUAGGUUGGGUAUAAACCCGGGAAACUGGGUAUAAUACCCGAUAGGUCUCGAUUGCUGGAAUGCAUCGAGAUUUAAAGCUCCGGCGCCUAAGGAUGGGUCUGCGGCCUAUCAGGUAGUAGUGGGUGUAGCGUACCUACUAGCCUACGACGGGUACGGGUUGUGAGAGCAAGAGCCCGGAGAUGGAUUCUGAGACACGAAUCCAGGCCCUACGGGGUGCAGCAGGCGCGAAAACUUUACAAUGCUGGCAACAGCGAUAAGGGAACCUCGAGUGCCAGGUUACAAAUCUGGCUGUCGAGAUGCCUAAAAAGCAUUUCAUAGCAAGGGCCGGGCAAGACCGGUGCCAGCCGCCGCGGUAACACCGGCGGCUCGAGUGGUAACCGUUAUUAUUGGGUCUAAAGGGUCUGUAGCCGGCCGGAUAAGUCUCUUGAGAAAUCUGGCAGCCUAACUGUCAGGCUUUCAGGAGAUACUGUCUGGCUCGAGGCCGGGAGAGGUGAGAGGUACUUCAGGGGUAGGGGUGAAAUCUUGUAAUCCUUGAAGGACCACCAGUGGCGAAGGCGUCUCACCAGAACGGACCUGACGGCAAGGGACGAAAGCUAGGGGCACGAACCGGAUUAGAUACCCGGGUAGUCCUAGCCGUAAACGAUACUCGCUAGGUGUCGGCCACGGUGCGACCGUUGUCGGUGCCGUAGGGAAGCCGUGAAGCGAGCCACCUGGGGAAGUACGGCCGCAAGGCUGAAACUUAAAGGAAUUGGCGGGGGAGCAC
rnacentral:rRNA from 1 species